GAUGAACGCUGGCGGCGUGCCUAAUACAUGCAAGUCGAGCGAACAGACGAGGAGCUUGCUCCUCUGACGUUAGCGGCGGACGGGUGAGUAACACGUGGAUAACCUACCUAUAAGACUGGGAUAACUUCGGGAAACCGGGGCUAAUACCGGAUAAUAUAUUGAACCGCAUGGUUCAAUAGUGAAAGACGGUUUUGCUGUCACUUAUAGAUGGAUCCGCGCCGCAUUAGCUAGUUGGUAAGGUAACGGCUUACCAAGGCAACGAUGCGUAGCCGACCUGAGAGGGUGAUCGGCCACACUGGAACUGAGACACGGUCCAGACGCCUACGGGAGGCAGCAGUAGGGAAUCUUCCGCAAUGGGCGAAAGCCUGACGGAGCAACGCCGCGUGAGUGAUGAAGGUCUUCGGAUCGUAAAACUCUGUUAUUAGGGAAGAACAAAUGUGUAAGUAACUAUGCACGUCUUGACGGUACCUAAUCAGAAAGCCACGGCUAACUACGUG
rnacentral:rRNA from 1 species